UGCAGUCGAACGAUGAACCACUUCGGUGGGGAUUAGUGGCGAACGGGUGAGUAACACGUGGGCAAUCUGCCCUGCACUCUGGGACAAGCCCUGGAAACGGGGUCUAAUACCGGAUAUUGACCUUCACGGGCAUCUGUGAGGUUCGAAAGCUCCGGCGGUGCAGGAUGAGCCCGCGGCCUAUCAGCUUGUUGGUGAGGUAAUGGCUCACCAAGGCGACGACGGGUAGCCGGCCUGAGAGGGCGACCGGCCACACUGGGACUGAGACACGGCCCAGACUCCUACGGGAGGCAGCAGUGGGGAAUAUUGCACAAUGGGCGAAAGCCUGAUGCAGCGACGCCGCGUGAGGGAUGACGGCCUUCGGGUUGUAAACCUCUUUCAGCAGGGAAGAAGCGAAAGUGACGGUACCUGCAGAAGAAGCGCCGGCUAACUACGUGCCAGCAGCCGCGGUAAUACGUAGGGCGCAAGCGUUGUCCGGAAUUAUUGGGCGUAAAGAGCUCGUAGGCGGCUUGUCACGUCGGUUGUGAAAGCCCGGGGCUUAACCCCGGGUCUGCAGUCGAUACGGGCAGGCUAGAGUUCGGUAGGGGAGAUCGGAAUUCCUGGUGUAGCGGUGAAAUGCGCAGAUAUCAGGAGGAACACCGGUGGCGAAGGCGGAUCUCUGGGCCGAUACUGACGCUGAGGAG
rnacentral:rRNA from 1 species